AUGUCGACGCUGGUAUUUGAAGGAGAGCUCCCUGUGUUUUUGUUCGAUUCGCUGCUUGGAUUUUGGGUCACCCGCCGCUUGAUGUGGGAAUUCUGGCAUGUUUUUACGUGUGCGAAACAGGGCAGUGACAUGAAGCAGCCUAGCAGGUUCACCACCAGCGUCUUGUCCGUAUGGAUAUUCGCACUCCUCCUUGCAUCUUCCGGUGUGGUUGCAUUAAGGCCUGUGAAAUGCCCGACGCACAGUCCUAAAUACCCGAUUUGCAUCAGCGUCGAAGCAUGUGCCGAACAAUGCGGCGCUGAAGGCUACCAUUUGGGGUUCUGCGACGAUGGUGGCAACUGCUUGUGCUUCAACUGCCACUCAUCACUUGACGCUAAAACAGCACACGGAGCCUUGGGUCGUUGA
rnacentral:rRNA from 1 species